AUAAUUAUUCUUAGAUUCACUUGUGAACUACUUUUCACUUGGAUGUUGUGAUGAUGAUUUUUUCAGAAGUGUGUUCUUUGAAUCUUAAUAAAGGAGAGAUAGAUAGAUUUGAAUCUUAUCUAUCUUUUUUCAUUAUUUUUCUUCCUUUUUUUCCACAAAAUAUCACCAUUAUUUGUAGAUUUUUUUUGAAGCUAAACUAGCUUGCCCUUCAGUUUUACAGAUUCUACUGAUGAAUAUAUAUAAUUUUUUCUUGUCUUUUCUGCACAAGUUCGAUUUUCUUUCUUUAUAUUUUUUUUAUCUUAAAAAAAAAUUGGAUAUAUAGAUUCUAUUUUACCAAAUAAAACUGUGGCCAAAUAUUCACAUAAAUAAAACCCCUAUUUGCUCUCCUUAAAAUUUAAUUUUCUGUGCAACUUUUUUUUUUUUUACUAAAGAUAGGAGACUCGAACCCACAACUUCUUAAUUGAAUAUAGGGAGAAUAUGCCAUUUGAACUAUUACUCAUUGGCAAUUUUCUGUGCAACUUGUGCCAUUUAUAUAGAACUUUAUAUAUUAUUAUUAUUGAUGCAUGAAGAGGGAGAUAAAUAGAUAGAUAGAUAGAUAGAUAUACAGUCGUUAUUUGCGGAUGUAGCAUCAUCAAGAUUCACAUGCAAAUGUAGAAGGUUGUGUAUGUGGGACUUUCUCUUUUGAAGUGAGAAUCUUGAUGAUGCUGCAUCGGCAAUAAACGCCUUCAAUUCAAUUCUUCAUUCAAAAUGCUGUUCCUAUUUACUCUCUCUGUUAGUUCAAUAGUAAGUUACUGUUUUAACCCCAACAAACAGGGUUCCCAGCUUCACAAUUGUCUCCAUUAUUAUUAUUAUAUAUAUAUAUAAAAAAGAGAGAGAGAUCUAAUCUGCAGAAGAAUUGAGUUUCAGCAACUGGUGAAGGUGAUGACCCCCUUUUUUUCCUCCACUUUUAUUCACUUUCUGUUGUUGUCAGGUGGUUUUUUUAAUUUUCUUUAUUUUAUUUAAUUAAUUGCCACAUUCACAAUGGAUAUAUAAUUAAUUAUAUAUGGGUAUGGUCUUGCAAUAUUUUAUUAGAAAUUCAACAAUACAAAUAUGUGUAUAUAUAAUUGAAUUGAAUUGGAUUGGACUAGGUAAAAAAUUAUAAAACAAAUUAAAGCUAAGAUUAGUACAAAAUGUCUAAUAUUAUUUUUUUCUUUAAUUUAUUUAAAAUGAUAAGUAUAUAAUAUUAGAAUAUAUAGGGACAUUAAUAAAUUAGGUGUUUUUGCAUUUUGCAGACAGUCCUAGGUUGUCAAAAUAGGGUUAUUUGGGAGGGGAAGGGGGAUGUGGUUGUUAGGUCUUCUUUAUGUGCUGACUUCACAGAUCUAUGAAUGUUCCUUUUCAACACAAAUUUCAGGGAUUCAUAAAUUGCAUACCAUAUUACCAUGGCGUCUUUUAACUUUCUAAAUAUAGAUUAUCAUGCAUUAUAUAAAUAUAUAUCCCAUUCUACAAAUCUAGAGAGAGAAAGGAGCAUAUGGAUUUUAGUUUAGGGUACUCAUUUGGUCAUGUUGUUUCUUGAUAUAUAAUUUUCACUUGAGAAAUGUUAUUUCAGCCACUAAAAUUAGUUACGAAUGUAUUUAUGUAUAAAUACAUGUAUGAUUUAAUUUAUUUUCAAUGUGUAUUUAUAUUCCAGCAUAUAUUUUAUACUAGUGGUUAAUUUUGGUGGCUGAUUUUGUUGUACACGUAGCAUAACCCUUUUCACUUAUGUUUAUGUCUAUAUCUAUAUCUAUAUCUAUAUGUAGUAAUACUACUAAAUUUUAUAAUUAUCUUAUAUGAUUUUAUUUUAUUUUAUUUUUUCACCUGAAAAUUCACUGCUAAUUUCUAAGAGUUGAUGAAGAAAUUAAAGCUUUGUGAUUGUGAAUGUGAAUGGAUAAUUCCAGUACUCAUCAUAAGUCACAGGUAGAUCUGUACUUGUUAUUCCAAACAACAUAUAAAUUUAAUUAUGAUUAAUAAUUAUUUAAACAUCUAUUCCAAUUAUAUAUAUCACAUUUUCUUAUUCUUUUGGUAGUGAGCUUAGUAUUACAUACAAGACUAUUUGAGUGAUGACAAAAUUCUUUCUUCUAAAUUUUAACAUAGUUAUUAAUUACCUUUAACUAAAACUUAAAAAUCUAAUAUAUAUUUACAUGCUUGUUGAUUAUAUUGCUUAGUAUAACAUAUAUGUACAAAUUAAUAAUUUAAUAGUAUACAUAUAGUGUUAAGUACUGCACAUGUACUAUAUAUAUUAAUGUUUGUAUAUGUGGAUUAUUGCGAGGGUUUGCAUAUGAUGUAGCAAUGAAAUUAAGCAAAAAUCAUUGAAAAUUGAAGCUGGGUUGGCUUGGGAACUUGGAUUAUGCAAAAUCAAUGACAUUGUGUGAUGAGUUCCAUGAUCAAGGGGAUUUGGCAGUAGUAACUUACUAUUUUUUAUAUGAUAAGAGGUAGAUAUACAUGCUUCAUGUUGGGGAGUAACCAACUAAGUCUUAAAGAUAUAAUCUCUUCUAAUUUCAGGAGGCCAGUUUCUAUCACCAAACCUUGAAAAGAUCCAACACAGAUCAAUGAGGGAGAAGUCAUAGCUGGAAAUGAUUCAAGACAAAAUAAGUAUGAGUGGCUGCAAUGCAGAAAAUAGGGCAGGAAUAUGAGUAAGAUGAUGCUGAUGGCUGUUAAGCUCAUGUGACAUGUGGAGGCCACAUUGGUACUUCUCUGCUGCUUUUGUUUCUACCUUUUUUAUCUUUUUUUUUUUUUUAAAUUAUUUGAACAACCAAAAUUAGUUCUCCAUUCACAUAAUCAUUUUAGUUUUAAUUUUGAUUAUUGCUUUAUGUAUGAAAAGCUUUUAAUAAGACUUCAAAUUAUUCAUUAUGCUAACUGCUAAGUGA